GGGGGUGUAGCUCAGUUGGUUAGAGCGCUGGCCUGUCACGCCAGAGGUCGCGGGUUCGAGCCCCGUCACUCCCGCCA
rnacentral:tRNA from 4 species